rnacentral:misc_RNA from 1 species
UGACAAGGUUACUUGCACGAGAACUUGGAAAAUCUCAUCCAAUGGUGAAUAUCAACACAGCUGAUGUUGAGAAAAUAAAAGAACUAUAUGCUUGUUGUGCUGAAGAUGAGUUGGCUUACUCGAAAAUUGGUGACUCAUGCCAGCUUGAAACACACACCCUCCCCGAUGGGCAGGUAAUAACGAUUGGAAGAGAGAGAUAUACUGUCGGUGAGGCAUUGUUCCAG